CCUACGGGGGGCAGCAGUGGGGAAUAUUGCACAAUGGGCGCAAGCCUGAUGCAGCCAUGCCGCGUGUGUGAGGAAGGCCUUCGGGUUGUAAAGCACUUUCAGCGGGGAGGAAGGCGGUGAGGUUAAUAACCUCAUCGAUUGACGUUACCCGCAGAAGAAGCACCGGCUAACUCCGUGCCAGCAGCCGCGGUAAUACGGAGGGUGCAAGCGUUAAUCGGAAUUACUGGGCGUAAAGCGCACGCAGGCGGUCUGUCAAGUCGGAUGUGAAAUCCCCGGGCUCAACCUGAACUGCAUUCGAAACUGGCAGGCUAGAGUCUUGUAGAGGGGGGUAGAAUUCCAGGUGUAGCGGUGAAAUGCGUAGAGAUCUGGAGGAAUACCGGUGGCGAAGGCGGCCCCCUGGACAAAGACUGACGCUCAGGUGCGAAAGCGUGGGGAGCAGACAGGAUUAGAUACCCGGGUAGUC
rnacentral:rRNA from 1 species